GACGCUGAAAUGUUUGAAACUGUUUCAAUUUUCAUUUGGGACUGUGGCUGCACCACCGGCAUCUUGCACAAGAAAGACACACGCAUGUCGUUCAGUUUUGAGUUCGCUGGAAAAUCAUACUGAGUACUGUGGGGAAUACACCACUCUUGCAUUCACCUGCAUCUCUCAUAGGAAGGGGACACUCGUUCAGUUUUCAACUCCGUUCAGAAUCUUAGAAUGUCAGAAUAACAGUGCAAAAGAACCUGUUG